AUUGAACGCUGGCGGCAGGCCUAACACAUGCAAGUCGAGCGGCAGCGGGAAAGUAGCUUGCUACUUUUGCCGGCGAGCGGCGGACGGGUGAGUAAUGCCUGGGAAAUUGCCCAGUCGAGGGGGAUAACAGUUGGAAACGACUGCUAAUACUGCAUACGCCCUACGGGGGAAAGCAGGGGACCUUCGGGCCUUGCGCGAUUGGAUAUGCCCAGGUGGGAUUAGCUAGUUGGUGAGGUAAUGGCUCACCAAGGCGACGAUCCCUAGCUGGUCUGAGAGGAUGAUCAGCCACACUGGAACUGAGACACGGUCCAGACUACUACGGGAGGCAGCAGUGGGGAAUAUUGCACAAUGGGGGAAACCCUGAUGCAGCCAUGCCGCGUGCGUGAAGAAGGCCUUCGGGUUGUAAAGCACUUUCAGCGAGGAGGAAAGGUUGAUGCCUAAUACGUAUCAACUGUGACGUUACUCGCAGAAGAAGCACCGGCUAACUCCGUGCCAGCCGCCGCAGUAA
rnacentral:rRNA from 1 species